UGGGGAAUUUUGGACAAUGGGCGAAAGCCUGAUCCAGCAAUGCCGCGUGUGUGAAGAAGGCCUUCGGGUUGUAAAGCACUUUUGUCCGGAAAGAAAUCCUUGGCUCUAAUACAGUCGGGGGAUGACGGUACCGGAAGAAUAAGCACCGGCUAACUACGUGCCAGCAGCCGCGGUAAUACGUAGGGUGCAAGCGUUAAUCGGAAUUACUGGGCGUAAAGCGUGCGCAGGCGGUUUGCUAAGACCGAUGUGAAAUCCCCGGGCUCAACCUGGGAACUGCAUUGGUGACUGGCAGGCUAGAGUAUGGCAGAGGGGGGUAGAAUUCCACGUGUAGCAGUGAAAUGCGUAGAGAUGUGGAGGAAUACCGAUGGCGAAGGCAGCCCCCUGGGGCCAAUACUGACGCUCAUGCACGAAAGCGUGGGGAGCAAACAGGAUUAGAUACCCUGGGUAGUCCACGCCCUAAACGAUGUCAACUAGUUGUUGGGGACUUCAUUUCCUUAGUAACGUAGCUAACGCGUGAAGUUGACCGCCU
rnacentral:rRNA from 1 species